rnacentral:lncRNA from 1 species
AUGUUCUGCAACUGUGUGGUACAGCAUUUGUGCGAGCAUCUUCACCCAUGUACACUCAUGGCCAGGGCAGCCACUAAGGGGCAGCUGCACACAGUGGAUUUCAGGAACCUUCCAUUACACACAGUUGUCAGUGCAUCCUGCUUUGAAGUGCCAGCAGGUACCUGGAAAGGAAAAAAAAACAACCAAAACCAAACAUGUAGGAAAGACAAAAAGCAAAAGAAAGGCAUCGUCUCUUGCAGGGUGGCUCCAUGUCAAAGCACUGCAGCACUGUCCAGCCAUAGGAACAGAGGAUGGGAACUGGCAACAGUGAGGUUCAAGAACCCCGUAUCAACUACAGCUCCAGCUCUAACAGGCUUUGGAGAAAGAAAGCCUUUCAUCAGGGUAUAUUUGACACAGAAGACUGGAUUUACUGUGUUUACAUCCCUCCAGGCUGUUCACCAAUGUGUUAAAUUCAACUGA